GUCAGAGAAUCCGUCUGCAAAGCCAGUGUCUAUUUUUACUAUCCAGCCACAGACGUGGUUGCUUUAACUGAGGAACUGCACCAGGAUUCUUCGUUUGCAUAAGAUGAGGAGUAGCGGCCUCUGAUAGUCCACAGGCGCUGAUCUCCAUGUCGCAAGACUUCGUUCGAGACGUCAGUGGCCAGUCAGUUAGCAGUGUGCUCGGUACUACCACAUGCGGCUUGUGCAGAGGUUGGAGAAAAGAGCUAAGAAAAGAGUGUGUCCCUCCCGGGAGCUCCCCUGCAGAUGCCUGAGUGUCGGACACCAGCAAAGGAUGGCUGAUGGCAACAGAGCCACCAAGAGAGGAUUCCGCCACAGAGCAAAAAGAUGCAUCUUGGUUUUCAGCAGUGCAAAACUUCUUAAACCCUUCCAGGCUCAUGGGAAAUGAGCCCUGAUUAUCUUGGAAGAAGUAAACCAUUUGAUUUGCACUACCCCAGCUCUCCUGAUUAACACCUGCCUGGGGCCCAGGCCUUUCCCCUUCUUUCCUCCACCCUCCUCCUCGCCCACACUUCCACCACCGGACCACAGCAGAAAGGGCAACCUUAUAUCUCAGGAAAGCAUUUGCUGCGUACCAGCAGACAAAGAUAAUGUUAUCCAGUUUCAAACCAGGAGCUUAUGAAGGGGAAGAUGACCACUCUGAAUUCAGCAUCUGAGAGCCUGCUAGAAUGAUAAUAUUAUCUCCCCCCCCCCGCCCCAGGGCUUGGCAUGAACCCAGGACUUCCUGCAUCCCAGCCAAGCACCCUACCACCGAGCCACAUCCCCAGCCCUGGUAAGAUCCUCGAACUACACAUCUGGGGCAGAAACUCAACCUCACUCUCCUAGCUUUGUCUCCCAGGGGCUCUGCCUCAUCCUCAGCCCCGGGGAGAGCCUAAAGCACUAUUGUGAAAGCACAAAGCCUCCUAGGGUGCCUCCCUUCCGGGGGACUCAGCCUCUGUGAAGCCCACCGACCCCAUUCCCUCCCAGCGGAUUCCACCCAGAGCUGGGGGACCUGGAGGGAAGAAAGAAAGUGGACAGCAACCAGUUGCCCUUCCAGGUGCCUCCACCUGGUACAAGCCUGGGAAGGUACAUGGCUGAUUCCCGAAGGGUCUCUAGGGGUCCUCAGACGUCUCCCGCCUGCAGGAGGCUGGGAGAUGGCUGAGUCUCUUCUGAGAAGUCCCGUCUGAGAAAUCAAGAGCUGGCUCCCAGUGCACAAGGGUUCGCUGUUCCGGAAAGUCUUGGUGGCAUGGGGGUGUCCCUGCUGAUAGUGGCUCCCUGGAUGGGGUGGUGAGACCUCUGGGGAUCCAGAGGGAGGAAGUGGGAAAUGACAGGAGUUUCUGGAGGGACAGAGUACUUGAAUCUGAGAUGAGAAGGCUGGCUGGGGAGGGUGGGGUUGCCCAUUCUGGUCCCACCGCAAAGAAUGAUCUCUAGGAAGUGUUACAACGGCCACAGGUGGCACCUGACUGGCGGGACACGUGUAAGAGGCCCUGGCGGGAGAUGUGGAUUUGAAUCAGCUCUGCAGCUUCCUAGCAGUAGGACCCUGGCAAGUUCCUUAGCUUCUCCAUGAUUAUUCUCCGCGACUGCUAAGUGGGGAUGAUAACGUUCACUAAUUAAUAUGGUUGGAAGUAUUAAAUGAAUCUUAAUUCAUAUGCUGCAUUUAGAACAGCUCCCAGCACAUAGUAAGUGCUCAAUAAACCUUGGCUGUGGUCUUUAGGGUUAGACAGCGAGCAGAACUUUCUAAAGGCUAGGUUUGAGAGCCUGGGACUCCGUUGCCAAGGGAGAUGAGAAAACCUUUUCAAAUAUGGGAGCUCAGGCCAGGCCCCAGGAUUGUCCAGAACUAGAGCGCGGGGCCUGCCUUUCCCCUACAUCUCUCCUCUG
ensembl:lincRNA